rnacentral:rRNA from 1 species
GCUAACUCCGUGCCAGCAGCCGCGGUAAUACGGAGGAUGCAAGCGUUAUCCGGAUUCAUUGGGUUUAAAGGGUGCGCAGGUGGGCUUGUAAGUCAGUGGUGAAAUACUGCCGCUUAACGGUAGGGUUGCCAUUGAUACUGCGGGUCUUGAGUAUGGUUGAGGUAGGCGGAAUGUGCAGUGUAGCGGUGAAAUGCAUAGAGAUUGCACAGAACUCCGAUUGCGAAGGCAGCUUACUAAACCAUAACUGACGCUGAGGCACGAAAGCGUGGGGAGCGAACAGGAUUAGAUACCCUAGUAGUC